rnacentral:sRNA from 1 species
ACCAGGUAUGGCAAUGCACACCUGUAAGCCCAGGUACUUGGGAGUCUGAGGCUGAGGAUCACUUGAGUUUGGGAGUUCAAGACCAGCCUGGACAAUAUGGAAAGAACCUGUCUCAAA